rnacentral:sRNA from 22 species
CACUAGCCCCGAUGGCAGUGGAAAUCCUUUUGUGCCGGUGUUCGGCACAAAAGAUUGAAGCGAACAGCGGGAAAAAGC